rnacentral:rRNA from 1 species
GGGCCAGGAGAUGGUGACGGAUCGCAGGUGUCGUUCUUCCUUAUCGGAUUGGAAGGGCUGGUGAGUGGUUCCUGGAAAUAGCCCUCCAUGAGACCGUACCCUAAACCGACACAGGUGGACUGGUAGAGAAUACCAAGGCGCUUGAGAGAACCACAUUUAAGGAACUCGGCAAAAUACCUCCGUAAGUUCGCGAGAAGGAGGCCCGGUUUUUGCGCAAGCAGAGGCCGGGGGCACAAACCAGGGGGUGGCGACUGUUUACUAAAAACACAGGGCUCUGCGAAGUCGUAAGACGACGUAUAGGGUCUGACGCCUGCCCGGUGCCGGAAGGUUAAAAGGAGAUGUGCAAGCAUUGAAUUGAAGCCCCGGUAAACGGCGGCCGUAACAAUAACGGUCCUAAGGUAGCGAAAUUCCUUGUCGGGUAAGUUCCGACCUGCACGAAUGGUGUAAUGAUGGCCAGGCUGUCUCCACCAGAGACUCAGUGAAAUUGAAAUUGCGGUGAAGAUGCCGUAUACCCGCGGCUAGACGGAAAGACCCCGUGAACCUUUACUACAGCUUUACAUUGAACUUUGACCUUACCUGUGUAGGAUAGGUGGGAGGCUUUGAAGUGGCGACGCUAGUUGCCAUGGAGCCGUCCUUGAAAUACCACCCUGGUAAUAUUGAGGUUCUAACUCUGUCCCGUUAUCCGGGACGAGGACCAUGUCUGGUGGGUAGUUUGACUGGGGCGGUCUCCUCCCAAAGAGUAACGGAGGAGCACGAAGGUUGGCUAAGUACGGUCGGACAUCGUACGGUUAGUGCAAAGGCAGAAGCCAGCUUAACUGCGAGACAGACACGUCGAGCAGGUACGAAAGUAGGUCAUAGUGAUCCGGUGGUUCUGUAUGGAAGGGCCAUCGCUCAACGGAUAAAAGGUACUCUGGGGAUAACAGGCUGAUACCGCCCAAGAGUUCAUAUCGACGGCGGUGUUUGGCACCUCGAUGUCGGCUCAUCACAUCCUGGGGCUG